UACGUAGGGGGCAAGCGUUGUCCGGAAUCAUUGGGCGUAAAGGGCGCGUAGGCGGCCCAGUAAGUCCGCUGUAAAAGUCAAAGGCUCAACCUUUGAAUGCCGGUGGAUACUGCUGGGCUAGAGUCCGGAAGAGGCGAGUGGAAUCCUGGUGUAGCGGUGGAAUGCGCAGAUAUCAGGAGGAACACCAAUAGCGAAGGCAGCUCGCUGGGACGGUAUUGACGCUAAGGCGCGAAAGCGUGGGGAG
rnacentral:rRNA from 1 species